rfam:Blumeria graminis f. sp. hordei DH14, WGS project CATH01000000 data, contig: 001711
AGCCAAUGAUGAAAAAAAAAAUCAGUUCUGCUUCUGAAUACCAUGAAGAUUUUUAACAAACCAAUUUUCUGAGGA